rnacentral:rRNA from 1 species
CUAGCCAUAAACCUAAAUAGUUCCAACAACAAAACUAUUCGCCAGAGGACUACUACAACAGCUUAAAACUCAAAGGACUUGGCGGUGCUUUACAUCCCU